rnacentral:rRNA from 30 species
UUGACCUCAAAUCGGGUGAGACUACCCGCUGAACUUAAGC